GAUAAUGAUUGGAAAAAUGCCCCUUACAUGUAGCUUGUUUAAGGAUCGCUACUCCGGUUGAUUAGUUGCCGAGAAUUGAUGCUCAGCUUGCUCAAGGAGUGGAACUUUUAUCAAUUUUUUAACCAAAGUUUGUAAAGGAUUUUGUUACUAUAUUUAUCACAGGACUAACAGGUAUUCUGCUUGCACAUGUUGCUGAAACAGUGUUCUUAACAGUGCCAUGGGGCGCUUUCCAUCUGGGUUUCUCGAGCAACAGACCCAGAGCCGGGGCGUUGCCGUAGGACAGAUGGGAAGAAAUGGUGGUGCUCAAGAGACACGGUUGUCAGAAGUACUAUGAGCGGCAUAUGAACAGAGACCGUCAUCGUUCAAGAAAGCAUGUGGAAGGCCAAUCUGGCCAUUCUGCUGCUGCUACAACUACAACCAAUACAAAGUCGACACCAAAUGCUACAUUAUGCUCCGUGUCAUCAUCAAUGGUGGGGCUCAAGGGCAGCGGUGCAUCCAACAAUGUCACCAUUGCCCAAAAUCAGCAACAACAGCUUAAGAACUUGCAGCCAGAUGGCUUGUUUAAUCUUUUUGCAGCGACUCCCCUUAACAGAAUGUUCUUUAGUAAAAACAAUUUGGGUGAAAGACUGCAAGAUUCAUCCAGUGAGUCCAUUCUAUCAUCCAGUACUGAUUUGAAAUCUAAAGAAAACUCUUUUUUUUCUUCAAAACAACAUAGCUCAUAUCAGGAGUCUUCACAAAUUGAGUUUGGACACGUCAACUCCGAUAUACGGUCAUGCUAAGAAUUAUAUAUUUCUUUUCUUUUUUAGAGAACUUUAAAGUAUGAGUUUCCAGAAAAAAUUUUGCCGAUGAAAAACAUUUGUACAAUUUUUCACCUAUUUUGUGUUACUUCUGUGAUAUAUAUAGUCAUUUGCAGUAGAUAUAUCAUUUAUCCUAUUGUCGUUCAAAAGGUUCCUCCGAGAAUUCAUGUUCUCUCAAAUGCAAAGGUCGACUCGCCCUUGCGGAAGGUUUGAAACUGAAUUUCAAGCGGCAGUUCAAAAAAUAUGGUGAUGACGAAAUACCCAUUGGAGAGUUGCUUGAAAAACUGAUGAGAGACGCUAAUAGAACUGAGAUAAACUGG